GGCAGAAGGAAAAUGAUACCAGGUAGAAAUAUUUUUCUAUAUGAAGGAAUGAAGAGCACCAGAAAUGAGGAGAUGGAGCUUAAGAUGCAUAGAUAAAUAUGUGAGAUUUUUUUCUUAUUAUUUCCAUCUCUUUAAAAGAUAAUUCACUGUUUAAAAAUAAUAAUAAACUAUUACAGGGUUUAUAAGAUAUGUAAAGGUAAAAUGUGUGACAACAAUAGUGCAAAGGCCAGGAAAAGAGAAAUAGAAGUAUGCUAUUGUAAAUGUCUUUUACAGAAAGUGAUAUGUGUGUCUCAGAAGUGAAGUGAUGUAAUAUCAAAGGUAGAAUAUGAUAAUGAUUGAUACUAUAAGCCUUAGAGAAACCUCUAAAAUGGCUACAAUAAAAAACAGUCAGAAAAGGAGAUAAAGUGGAGUAAUGGAAAAUAUUCAGGUAAUCCAAAAGAAGGCAGCGAAAGAGGACAAAGGAAACAAAAACUGUAUUGGAAAAAAAAGAAAAUCAGCAAGACAAUAAGUUGGGCCUAACCAUAUUAAUAAUCACACUAAAUGUAAACACUGUAAACAUUUUAUUUAAACAGAAAGGAUUGCCAGAUCUGAUAUAACAUGCAAGAACCAGUUAAAUACUACCAAUAAGAAACACAUUUUAGGCCAGGCACAGUGGCUCAUACCUGCAAUUCCAGCACUUUGGGAGGCUGAGGCGGGUGGAUUGCUUAAGGUCAGGAGUUUGAGACCAGCCUGGCCAACAUGGUGAAACCUUGUCUCUACUAAAAAUACAAAAAUUAGCCAGGGUGGUGGCACAUGCCCGUAAUCCCAGGUACUCAGGAGUCUGAGGCAGGAAAAUUGCAUGAACCCUGGAGGCUGAGGUUGCAAUGAGCCAAUAUGGCACCACUGCACUCCAGCUGGAUGACAGAGCCAGACUCCAUUACAAAACAACAACAACAACAACAACACAUUUUACAUAUAAAGGUUAAUAGACUAAAAGUAAAAGAAAGUGGGAAAUCAUGCUUACACUAAAAAUGGCCUAGAAAUUUGAUAGUUAGAUGAAAUGGACAAAUUUCUUAUAAAAAAAUCACAAAGAUCUCUCGAGGUAAUAUAGAAUCUAAACAAGACUUUAUCUACUAAAGAAAUUGAACUUUCCGUUUAAAACCUUCCCAUAAAGAAAAAGUGGUGAAUUCUACCAAGCAUAUAAGAACUAAUACCAAUUCUAAACAAAUUCUUUCAGAAAAUCAGAAGUGAUUCCAACUCAUUCUAUGGUGCCAGAAUUACUCAUCAUUUAUCUGGACCUCAUCAUAGUAUCCACCCCAAAUUACCUUUUAUCCUUGUGAUUAUGAUAAAUAAAUGUGUGUUAAUUGAUGGUAACUAUUAGUAUAGUUGAGACAGAUAAUUCUUUUUGAUUGAAUGACUAUAACAAAACAAUGACUGAAUAACACAUUAGUGUCAACAUAGAGAAAGAACUGUAAUAAAUGCCGAGAACAUGUAUUAGGAUAAGCUAUCAAGAAUGUGAGGGCCAUCUGGCUGCAACAUCUUUCACCCCAUUGAUCAUCAGGGUUGAUUUGGCUGAUGUGGCUGGCUAGGGGGGUGUCCCCUUCCCUCCUCACCGCUCCAUGUGCGUUGCUCUGGAAGCUGUGUCCUGGGUCUAAGAGGACAACCAUCUCUAGCAGAAGAGGGCGGGUCUUCCCUCAAGAAUAUAGGAGUAGCUGUGCUUCCCUGCUAGGACCUCCAAACAAGCUCUCAAGGACAGGCUAUCAAACAAUCCCAUGUGGUAAAAACAAUAAAUAAUGGCUCUCCUGGAACGUUUUCCUUCAAAUUAUGAAUUCAUGGAUCCAUCUUCCUCCCGUUUUCUGAUUCUCUCAUUUCAGAGUUAUUUUCUCCCUGCAAGUAAAUUGGGGACAGGGUGAAGAUCUUCAUGCUAGAUGUUUCUGCCCAGCACUGAAAUAUAUCAUAUGGUAUUUUUGCCCAUAUGCCACUGACCAAAACUUAGUCCCUUGCCCUACCAAGAUAUUAGAGGGGUUGGUUAUGUAGUUGUCCUGUAUGCCAGGAGGAAAAUAAAAUAACUUGGUCAACACAUAGCAAUGUAUCUGCCAUAAAUAUUAUAAAUACUUUGUAUAAGAGCAUCAGGACCAAACAGGCUAAAACCAUGAUUCAUAUCUAACAAGCUGAUAUAGGUUAAAAAAAUUUUUACAAAUCAACUUAAAUCAAAACUGUAAGAUAAGAGAGAUUUAUCUAAACAUCAGCAAAUUAAAACAUAGGUCAAAAAUAAAUAAAUGUGAAGGACAUUAAUUAAAGUAUUGAAUCCAGGUUAAUAUUUUUCUCUCUAUCUGUGCCAUUCAGACUAUCCCAAAAUAUUAUAUAGAAUUAUAAAUGUUGCACUAAAAGAACCAUUGACUAAUGGGAGCAAGUCCAAUAAUAACGUAGUAAAAAUGAAAAAAAAUUGAAAUUUGUCAUAUGAAAAUUAGUUGAAAUAACUUGAAAUUUUAUCCUAAAGAAAAUAUGUAGUGGUUAACAUGAUAGUUUUCGUAAAAUAUUUGAGUAGGGGCAUCGUUUAAUACAGUUAUCAGACUUAUUUUUUAUGAAUCUUAAGAUUAGUACAAGUGCCUUGUAUAUAGAAGGAAAAUAUGGGCUCAAUAUAAAGAAAAUUCCUUUAUAAAUAGAGCAAUUGUUCUCAAAAUGUGAUCCAGGAACCCCCAAGGCAACUAAGACUUUCAAGGGGUCUGCAAGUUCAUAACUAUAUUAAAAAUAAUACUAAGAUGUUAUUUGCCUUUUAGACUCUCAUUUUCUUACAUAAGUCACUGUAGUAUCUGCAAUAAAAAAAUUUUUAAGAAACAACAAAACAAUCAUUUUCUUACAAGUGUGCAGUGGAGUUUUCCAGAGGCUACCUGACAUGUUGUGUCACAAAAAAGAAAACAUAAAAACCCUUUAUUAAGAUAGAAAUUAAAAAGAUUUUUUAAAGAGAUAAACCAUUCCAUUCUUCUCACUAUAAUUUUUGAAAAUAUAAUUUUUUAAUUUAAAAAGUGUUCAUAUAUAAUGGGUUUAUUAUUGGUAAUUAAUUUAGUAUUAAAACAACUCAUUUAAUUUCUAAUAUAAUAAGUAUCAAUGGCUAUACUCCGUUAAAUAAAAGUUCUUUGGGAUCUUCAAUAAGUUUUGGUUUUGUUUUGUUUUGUUUUUUCUUUACAAAACAUGAGCUAGGAAAGACUCAGUAAGUUCUAAGAGUAAAAAGGGGUAUGGAGACCAAAAAGUCUAAGAUCCAGCGAAGUAGAGCUAUACAAAAUAGGAUUGACUGCCUUAAUACAUAAUGAGUUGUCUAUCACUAGAGUAGCUAGCUGGUCAGUUAUUAGAGGUAUUGUGUGAGGCAUGCAAACCACAGGAAUUGGGUUGGAAACCCACUGAAGCCUACUCCAAAACUAAAAUUUAAUGAUGCUUAAACUCUGUAAUCAUUGAUUAAUUUUAUAAAAUACUGAUAAGAACAUAAAGUUAGUUAAAAUUUUUGUCAAAAAUCUACUGUGUCAGAGCCAUAAUUAGAAUUCUCUUGUCUUUCCACUACACCACUUUUAUUCCUUCCCCAAAUCUUAUUCCUUUAGUUAUCAACCUUACAUCUACCUCUAGGCCUUGGCCAGGCAAACAAAUAGACUGUUCUGUCCUAACUGGAACCAUUCAUGAGCUCAGCAUCUAAGAUGUUUGUUGGUUUCCAUCACCUUCCUUUCUCAGCACUCCUUGACUGAAUCAAACAUAGACCUCUCAGUCUUCUGAUGUGCUGUUUGUUUACCUUGACUCUUGCUCUCUAUGUAUGUCCAAGGCAUUCAAAGUAUAUAUUAGCAAAGAAAGACAAAGAUUCAGUCCUGGGAUGUGGGUGGGAAGUAAGAAAACAAGAAUGAAGCAAAUGAAAACAAUACCUAAUUUUGAGAUCAUCUAUGGCAGCGGUCCCCAAGUCCCCAAUCUUUUUGGCACCAGGGACCAGUUUUGUGGAAGACAAUUUUUCCAUGAACGUGGGCAGGGAUGGGGGUGCAGAUGAUGGUUUGAGGAUGAAACUGUUCCACCUCAGAUCAUCAGGCAUUAGAUUCUCAUAAGGAGCGCACAAUCUCACAUGCAGUUCACAACAGGGUUCAGGGUUCCCGCUGUUAUGAGAAUCUAAUGCCCCACUGAUCUGACAGGAGGUGGAGCUCAGGCAGUAAUGCUAGGUCUCCCACCACUACCACCUCCUGUGCAGUCCUGUUCCUAAUAGGCCAUGGCCCAGUACUAGUCCCUGGUCUGGAGUUGGGGACCCCGAACUAUUGGAUGAGAUGUCAUAAAACACUAAGGCACAUACAAUUGGACACCAACAAAUAAUUUCCCAAAUAACAGGCCUGAAUAUAAAAGGUAUACUAAAUGGAUGUCCUGCAAGACUUCCUAAAGAAAUCAGUGAGUAUAGAAUUUUAUGAGCACAAAAAAUGUUGUAAGCAUGGACAUUAAUUAGUUGCUGUGAUGUAUUUGUCAUAAUAUUCAAGCAUGAUUGUUGUGUCAAUGUUUUGGAAUCAAUUACAUAUUGUUUUAAGAUUUUCAUGGUUCAGAAGUUUAUACCUGUAUUUCUUUGGGAAAAAAAAAAAAUCAAGGCUAUAGCCAAAAUUCUGAAGUGAAAUUAAGGCAGCAAAAUAAAACUGCCUACUGGAUAUUUGAGAUGAUAGCAGCCAGGAGAGGCUGAUCUGGAAGUUGGUUUCCUACUGCCAGUAGGUGCCCUGGAGAAAAUUUCAAUAAUCUCCAAACAUUUUUGCAAUUAGUAUCUGGAUAUUUAGAAAGAAAAGGACCCAUUUAUUCUGAUCCCUGCUUCUUACGUAGUAGAUACAGAAAUGUUGUGGGGUUUUUUGAGUCCUAAAACAGCAAAGACCAGAAUACCAGUUUGGAUAUUUUUAAGAGAACGGAUUGAACAAAGAGAAUAACACAAACUUGGCAUUGUCAUAUAAUUUGAACCUCACAUAAAAAUGUCAAGAUUUUUAAAAUACGGCUGUUUUGAUAGAAGGCAAAACACAAAUACUUAAAAACCUUAAUAAAUAAAAUUUUCUUUUAAUCUCAGGUCUACUUGCACAAGGAACGUAAAAUAUACCACUCAAAUAGCAAUUUCACUGAUUUUCAACUUAAAAUAAAUAAAAUUAAACAAUAAAGAAAGAAGAAGGAAAGAAAUUUCAUGUCUUUGUACCCAGCUAUUCAAUAAUACACACUUAUUUAGCAGUUAUACACUUAUCAAUACUCACCAAUACACUUAGGUGUUGGAAAUGUUCUGUGUCAUAAUUGUGGUUACAUGACUAUACAGUAAAUCCUCACUUAGGGUUGUCCAUGGGCCCUUGGAAACCGUGACUGUAAGCCAAACGAGGUAUAAGGAAACCAGUUUUGCCUUAGGCUAGUUGAUAUAAACAAGUGAUAAGUUCCUGCCCAUGUUUCUGAUUACAGAAACAUCAACAAACUUCUAAACAAAGACCAAAAUAUUUCUAAUGUUAAAUACUGAAAAAAAGUGAGUUAUACAUAUGUAUAAGAAAGAUUAAUAAAAACAAAAGAUAAUUAUUUAUAGCUUAUUCCAGUUCAGGGUAGUGAGUGGUCAGAGCCUGUCCUGGCAGCACAGGGGCAAAGCAGGAAGCAGCCCUGGACAGGAUCCCAUACCCCCGCAGAAUGCGCUUGCAGGUUCAUUCACACUCACUCAGACAGGCACCACUGAGACACUGCAGUUCACCUAACCAGCAUGGCUUUCUGAUGUGGAAGAAAACCGAGGUAUCCAGAGAAAACUCACACAGACAUGGAGAGAAAGUGCAAACUCCACACAGGGGCUCCAGCAGGGAGUUAUUUUUUUCUUUUUUUCUCAUCAAUGUCAUAACAAAAUGAUGGUGAACAAAGUGACAUUAUUCAAAGAUCUGCUGUAUUCUUGCAAAUUUCAUCAAAUUAUACCCAUAAAAUUGGUGAGCUUUGUGUGUAAAUUACACCUAAAUAAAACAGAUUUUUAAAAAUCUGUUUGAAUUUAGUAAAAAGGCAAACUAGGCACCAUAUAUUUCAAAAGGUCUUAAUGCAUUAUCUCAAUAUCUACACUAUUGAUGCCUUGCCAUUUGCUGGCUUUGUGACAUCGGGCAAAUUAUUCCACUUCUCUUAAUUUCCUUUUCUGUAAAAUGGAGAAAAUAGCAGCUGUGGUAUAGGACCGUGGUGUGACA
rnacentral:lncRNA from 10 species